AUUGAACGCUGGCGGCAGGCUUAACACAUGCAAGUCGAACGAGUGGCGGACGGGUGAGUAAUGCUUGGGAAUCUAGCUUAUGGAGGGGGAUAACUACGGGAAACUGUAGCUAAUACCGCGUACCAUAGGAUGAGCCCAGGUGGGAUUAGGUAGUUGGUGAGGUAAAGGCUCACCAAGCCGACGAUCCCUGGCUGGGCUGAGAGGAUGACCAGCCACACUGGGACGGAGACACGGCCCAGACUCCUACGGGAGGAAGCAGUGGGGAAUAUUGCGCAAUGGGGGAAACCUGAUGCAGCCAUGCCGCGUGAAUGAAGAAGGCUUGCGGGUUGUAAAGUUCUUUCGGUAGGGAGGCGUUAACUACAGAAGAAGCACCGGCUAACUCCGUGCCAGCAGCCGCGGUAAUAC
rnacentral:rRNA from 1 species